UACGGAGGGGGCAAGCGUUAUUCGGAAUUAUUGGGCGUAAAGGACGCGUAGGCGGCUAGAUGUGUCAAAGGUGAAAUCCCUCGGCUCAACUGAGGAACUGCCUUUGAAACUGUCUGGCUUGAGGCCGGGAGAGGGUAGCGGAAUUCCCAGUGUAGCGGUGAAAUGCGUAGAUAUUGGGAGGAACACCAGUGGCGAAGGCGGCUACCUGGACCGGUUCUGACGCUGAGGCGCGAAAGCGUGGGUAGCAAACAGG
rnacentral:rRNA from 1 species